GGGCCCGCACAAGCGGUGGAGCAUGUGGUUUAAUUCGAUGAUACGCGAGGAACCUUACCAGGGCUUAAAUGUAGGUUGCAUGAUCUAGAGAUAGAUCUUUCUUCGGACUACCUACAAGGUGCUGCAUGGUUGUCGUCAGCUCGUGCCGUGAGGUGUCAGGUUAAGUCCUAUAACGAGCGCAACCCCUGUCGUUAGUUACCAGCAAUUAAAGUUGGGUACUCUAGCGAGACUGCCGGUGCAAACCGUGAGGAAGGUGGGGAUGACGUCAAAUCAUCACGGCCCUUACGUCCUGGGCUACACACGUGCUACAAUGGCCGGUACAGAGAGCAGCCACUACGCGAGUAGGAGCGAAUCUUCAAAGCCGGUCUCAGUUCGGAUCGCAGUCUGCAACUCGACUGCGUG
rnacentral:rRNA from 1 species